UACGUAGGGCGCAAGCGUUGUCCGGAAUUAUUGGGCGUAAAGAGCUCGUAGGCGGCUUGUCGCGUCGGUUGUGAAAGCCCGGGGCUUAACCCCGGGUCUGCAGUCGAUACGGGCAGGCUAGAGUUCGGUAGGGGAGAUCGGAAUUCCUGGUGUAGCGGUGAAAUGCGCAGAUAUCAGGAGGAACACCGGUGGCGAAGGCGGUUCUCUGGGCAUGACCUGACGCUGAGGAGCGAAAGUGUGGGGAGCGAACAGG
rnacentral:rRNA from 1 species